GUGCUCGCUUCGGCAGCACAUGUACUAAAAUUGAAACGAUACAGAGAAGAUUAGCAUGGCCCCUGUGCAAGGAUGACACACAAAUUCAUAAAGCAUUCCAUAUUUUU
rnacentral:snRNA from 1 species